ACCUCGAUAGCUUAGCCGGUCAAGCACUCGUCUAGCACACAAGACUCGUGGGUUUGAAUCCCACCUGAGCAA
rfam:Aedes aegypti strain Liverpool supercont1.110 genomic scaffold, whole genome shotgun sequence.